rnacentral:misc_RNA from 1 species
CUUAGAAAGCAAACCUAUAACCGUUCACCGCCGCACAGGCGGC